GACAGAGGGUGCAAACGUUGUUCGGAAUUAUUGGGCGUAAAGAGCUCGUAGGCGGUCUGUUGCGUCCGCUGUGAAAACCCGGGGCUUAACCCCUGGCUUGCAGUGGAUACGGACAGACUAGAGGUAGGUAGGGGAGAAUGGAAUUCCCGGUGUAGCGGUGAAAUGCGCAGAUAUCGGGAGGAACACCGGUGGCGAAGGCGGUUCUCUGGGCCUUACCUGACGCUGAGGAGCGAAAGCGUGGGGAGCGAACAGG
rnacentral:rRNA from 1 species